GUUUCCCCAGAUAUGUGCUUAAAAUCAAACUGUGAUUGGCAGCACUAAUAUCAGAAAUAAUCUCGAGAGCCGAGCUUCUUCGGUUUCUUUCGAUUCGAAACCCUCUUCGAUUGUUCUGUGUUCCGUAUACUGUAUACGCACCUUUGUUUGCCAAUGAGGCCGGGCCAGUAAUUCCUUAAGUUUGGACGCCCAGCGGCAUGGAAUCUAAUCACAGUUGGUGAGUGUAACUGGGAUUUUCAACAUGGAAACAUUGCCAUCGGGAGUUCGUCGCGCAAAAUUGGGAGAAAAUCUGAAUCCGGAAAAUCUGAAUCUGAAUCUAAGGAUAAAACCUUAUAGUGCUAGUGUUUUUAUUAAAUCCCCGAUAGCCAUGUGAAAAAAGUGCCAGUAUAGCCCUGAUUUAUGUGCCAAUAAAAAAAUAAAAUGCCAUCUUUAUAUAACCCUCCGUGUUGUAAGAGGGUUGUGUGAGUUUUUGGAAAUCAACGAAAAUUGAUCUUUGGCUCUUCGAUAAGAUACCACUGGGUUCUAAUGUGUAAAUUUCAGGUGCCAAAGCAACGCUCAAGUAACACUUGAGAAAGCGAAAGUCAACUUUGGAAGUUAAUUAACGAUCCGUUGAUUAGAUUAGAAUAUGCUUAUUAACUUUUUUUUCGCCUGAUACCAUACCUGAAACUAUAUACGUUAAUGAAAUUCUUGGAAAUUGCAAAGCUUAUUUCGGUGCUUUCGAUCUUAUCCAGACUUUUCAGACCAGUGUCAGUGACAGAGUUCAAAAAUUUCCAAAGUUCAAAACUGUGACAGUCCCGGUUCUCCUUCUAUGUAUGCUUCAUAUGUUGGGUUUUUAUUUUUCAUUUGUUGAUGUCUUGAUGUCUUGAUGUUGGCCCGGCUGCUUCUUCCCCGUUUUCAUUAUCUUAAGUACACAUUUUGAAGUACAAACGUCAGUUGUGCGAUAAGGGAACGAAAAAGUAAGGUAAAAAAACAGCAACAUGUACGUAACAACCCGAAGAAGACAUCAAAAAGCAGUCAACUCAAACAACAAACAGAAUGGAAAAGAACAGAGGAUGGGGAGUGCUCUAAAUGCAACUCUAUUUGCACAGCUCAGACCUCAGACCUCAGACUCAUACCCCCAUAUCAUGGUAGAGCAUUAUAGUAUACCUACCCAGACCGAAAAUCGGUGCAUUUUCACACUAAAUAAAUCGGACAAGUUGUCAAACAUUUAAUUAGGUGCACCGCAAUCCUGAAAACCCAAGAAAACCCGGAAAAAUCUUGAACAUUAUGUAUAAGGUGUAUCCGGGAGACUUACAUAACCUUGGGUAGCUGGGACGAAGGUCUUACGGCUACGGUUUCUGCAUAUGGUAAAUACCAUUAUCAAAUCAUAUUAUCUUAUUUAUAAGCAUUAUCGUGCCACAGAUACAGAUUGCCUAUCUAUGGAAUGGGCAUGUAAAAAAAUCAUAUAUACCCCAGAUAUCUUACCGAGUGUGGUUAUUUCGUGGCUGGCACAGUAAGUUUUGCACUUUCCAUUAAAACGCGCUCCGCUCCGCAAUUAUAAAGUAAUAAUAUAAACGCAUUAUAACGAUGAAAGGGCGGAUCCGGAUCGUAAAGUGACCGCGGGCCCGGCUCCAAGGCAAAAAAGUGCGAAUAUAAAAAUGCGCAACAAAACGCUUCUAAUAAAAGAAAAAUAGAGCCAUAAAAUGCCGAGCGUCAGGCCGAAAAUGAACUCAUCGUAAAUUAUGGACUACAAGUGUGUGUAUUACUGGUAUAUAUAGACAUGUUCAUACGAGUGAUGGUAUAAAAAAAAAUCUUAUCCCUAUACGUGACAAAAAGCCAACAAUGCCCAGAAAGCAAACCUUUCUGAAAACUCAACCAUCUCCAGAUAUCUCCAUUUUGUGUCAUACGUCCUUAUGGUGGAACUUAAGAACUUUCCGGAAAAGAAUAAUCCUCUAAAGUGACUUUGAAAUAAAGAAAAGUGGCGUAAAAGUGCUUGAGUUUAGAUUUAUAAAGUAUUUCCAAAACAAAUUUGUCACUGGGUGUAUACUUUUUAGAAAAUAUAUCACCUUUAUAUCCAUUUAGCCCCGUUCUUGGGCAAAUAAAUAACUUGUUUGUUUGCAGCAAACUUUAAGACUAAGCUCUCAUGAAAUUAGAGUCAACAAAAUCAGGCUAAAGGCCUAAUGAUUUUCAAACAAUGAUUAAUAAAAGAGCGAUGAAAAUGGUAAAGAGCUACGUAUGUUUACUUGCCAUAAUUUUCAGUCUUUAUAAUAGACACUUAAAUAUGAGUCAUAUUUUGAUGCAUUUCUUACUCAUUUUUCUCCUUUAUUAAAGACCCAAACAUAAGAUUAUGGCAUUCCCACAUAUAUCUUAUCAUGAAUAAAUACAAGGCUAUGCAACUGGCAUUAUCACUUCAUUAUCUUGCUCAAAGAUUCGAUAGCGAAACCCUGACCCGGUUCCAAAAACUAACAAUCUCUUGAGUGAAAGUUUUGCAAAAAAAAUCUGUACAACGACCGAUUAGGCCGUAUAUUCUCAGAUAGUACCCAUAUAUAAUGUAGGAACCAGAAAACUCUGAUACUUUGAGCGAAAAGAGCCCGCUAUUAAAUGACGCUUGGCAUUCCGAAAACAAAUGUUUAUCUUUGGGGAUAAAGGCAACGAGGCUAAUCAGUGGAGGGUAUCAAUCAAACCACUGGACGCAGCGGAGAGCCACCCACUUGAGCGGUGCACGAGCCAGCCCAGUCAGGCCAGCCAGUUCGCCAUCCAAGCCGACGCGUACAGUCACGUAGCCAACAGAGUGGUUUGCUCCACCCACCGUCACCACCACAGCCAUCCCACCUCCCCAACCCCCCCAUCGCACACCCUUUCGAUUCACCCAACCACCAACCCCAUUCCCCACCCCACUAGACGAGCUAACAACCCUAGCAAUAAACAAAAAACUGUUUUGCCACAUGAAGUGACUUUCAGAUUUUGUUGUUGUGGUCGUUUUGUAACGCGUGACUCCCAUAAAAAAAUAGACCAACAACACCACGAUAGUACUGAAACUUUAUUAAAAACGAAAUAGAGCAAAAAAGGAAAACGAAUUAUAAAUAGAGAGGAGGCCGAGGAAGAGGGUACCGAGCAAUGCGACGUUAUCUUAUCACUGAAAAUGUCGCUUUCGUAAAUGGCGGCGCACAAAAUAAUAUAAUGCACACAUACAUAUGAGAGUACUUCCCCCGCAUACUCACACACAUACACACACACAUACACCGAAAAUGUUAUUUUCUUUUCCGUUAUUUCAGGGUGGCCCCAAAUGCUUGGCUCGGAACUUCAUUUCAUCUAAAAUCUGUAAAAUUUGUAUUCCAAAUAAAGUUUAUUUAAUAAUA